GGGUUUGUAGCUCAGUGGUAGAGCCCUUACCUCGCACGUAUGAGGCACAGGAUCAAUCCUCAGCACCA
rnacentral:tRNA from 1 species